AACACCGAAGCAUCUGAACGGCAGCAGUCUCGAGAGCACUCUAUGAUCAGAAUGACUCGCUGGCUGGUUCCGCGUGGCUCGGGGGACGGAGGAAGCUGUUGAAUGGGCAGAGGUGCUGAAAACAGCAGACCAGCCGUUCCCUUUGCCUUCCCAGUCGAGACGAUACGCAUGAACUGAUGUGAACGCCGAGCAGCAACAACGACGGCACAGCAGUUCGGCGGUUAACACAGCAGCUCCCCCGGCCAGAGUAAAUGGGAGCGUUAGAAAGAUGGAGAGCUUUUUGUUCCCACUCGUCCUCAGCUGUCUCUGCGUCUCUCGAGUCACAGCAGAUAGCUUGUCGCCUCCUGUCAAUGUGACCAUCGGAGCAGUGAAAGCCAACUCUGCUGUGGUGACAUGGGACAUCCCCGAGGGAGACCCCGUUAUUGGCUUUGCCAUCACACAGCAGAAGAAAGACGUUCGCAUGCUGCGAUUCAUCCAGGAAGUCAACACCACCACACGCUCCUGUGCAUUAUGGGACUUAGAGGAAGAGACAGACUACAUUGUGCAUGUCCAGUCCAUCAGCAUGUCUGGGACGAGCCCACUGAGCGAACCCCUGCACUUCCGAAUGCCGAAGGAGGCCGAGACUCAGGCCUCUAAGAGUAAAGACGAGGUGACAAUGGAAGAAGUGGGCCAGAGCACCCAGCUGAGAGCAGGGGAGCUCAUCAUCAUCGUGGUGGUACUCAUCAUGUGGGCAGGUGUGAUCGCUCUCUUCUGCCGCCAGUACGACAUCAUCAAAGACAACGAGCCCAACAACAACAAGGACAAAGCCAAAAACUCCUCCGAAUGCAGCACUCCUGAGCAUCCGACGGGGGGGCUGUUGCGCAGUAAGGUAUAACCUACCCACCCCUCCUCCUCCUCCUCCCCCCUGGGUGCCUCCCCCACAGCGACUCCGGGCAGUUCCCUAAGAACAACAACAACAACAACAAUAGGAUGCCAUCUGUCAACAUCAUUGAGGUGUGACUGCCAGGACAUCAUCUCUUUAUCCAAAAGACUUUGUGUUCUCGCAAACAAGCGGGCCCCUUUUAGGCCCAUCUGCAUGUCAGGAUGAGGCUGGGACUCGGAGCCCUUCGGCGGCGCUUCACUCUGCUCUGGCAGGGCGCCUGCUGCUGAAGCCAAGCUGCUCCACUUGGGGGCGUCGGACAUGGCCUGGCCGGAGCGGGUCUGAGGGCAGAGUCUGGGUGAGCUCAGAGGCUGCACUGUGCUCUGUAAGUACUGUACCGCGGGGGCCGAUGGGGGCCAAGUGGCUCCGACGGUGGAGACUGCAGUUGAACCAACCCCAGGGACCAAAGUCUACGAACAGAGCCAGAGACCUUUUCAUUCUCUUUUCACCAUGAGUGGCACUUGUCGUGAUGACCUUAUUUCCUUCAUAAUAUUCAGCUUUAUGAAUUGAAAGAAAACACUGUAGAUCAUCCAUUAUUGUUGCUUUUAACAAGGUGCCACCAGAGCAGUCCUGUUCUGGUAUCUUUUUAUUUUUUUAGAUCCCCCUCAGGCAGAAACCUCCUGUGGGAACUGUUUUCAUUCUGCCGAGCUCAUUUUCCCCCCUCAGGGAAACCAAACUCCACCUGGCUGGUUUAGGACUAAUUUCUUAGAUGUGCUGCAGUGAUGUCAGAGCAGCCUUAGAGGAGCUGAAUCACCCACUAUCGUCAUGUUGAAGGCAUAUCUGAGUAUGUAACAGGCCAGGUGGUAUCAUCUCGGUCACAUUUGCUUUUGCCUUCUUACUUCUUUCAUGGUUUAUUAAGAGAUUUCCUGAAAUGUUUCAUUCCACAUCCAUGAUGAGCCCUUAGUAUUCCCUUGUGUCUUUCUCUGUGAGGGGGAUGAAUUUCAUUAUGGAGCUGCGUUCAUUGAAUGACUUUUAAAAAAGGGGGUUGGACUCUACGGAUGUCUGUGGAGACCACGAAGGGAUCCCUUAUAUCAGCAAUAACAGCGGAAGUGGACUCUGUAGCCUGUUCGUCCAAAACUUGAGCUCCCAGAAUGCAAUGUUCAGACGAAUGGACAAACUGCACAUCGGCUAUGAGGGAAUUUAACCUGAGCUAACAGGUGAUCCCUGUUAGUAUUUCAGCGCUGUUGUAAAAUCUUUUGGAUGGAGAACAUGGGGGGAAAAAAGGUUUUACGGGCCCAAAACACAACCCAGAGACUUCCUUAUGACAUUAGCUAAUGUCAACAAGAAAGAAGGGCUUCUAUCAAGAUUUUUUUUCACAAAUCAAAGUCAACAUUUGCAUUGAAACUACGUGUUGAGGUCACUAAUAAAGAUCCACUGUUGUUAUACGGUACUGUGCACUGUACACUGUAAAGGGACUUGUUUUCAGAAAGCAAAUGGUGUAUGUGAGAGCUGAUUCAAACUCAGUAGUACUGCCUUAAAAAUAAUUGUAUUUAGGAUUUAUCUUAUACGACGGAAAGCCCUCUAUUCCACAUUGGUCCUAUUCAUUAGCUUUCACAUGAUAAUUAAAUGUGUCUGCAAAAGUGAAAAUGAACAUGUGCUGAGGUGGGUUGGCAAAUAUGGUUGACAUUGAAUGUGUAAAUACAUUUUAUAUUUUAUUCUUGUUUGGUAGGGUCAGCUUAGAGAGCCUUUAAUGAAAUAUGAGUAAUGUGCAAAAUGUAUAGAAUCUUAAUGUAAAAAGGAUACCAGUUCAAGCUGGUGACAAUGUAGGUGGUAUCUUUUGUCAAUGCACUGCUGUUAAAGUCUUUUUCAAAGCACUCCUCUAUUAUUAUGCAUAUUCUAUUUGUUUGUCCCGCUUUUUUUGAUGAAGAAAAAGAUGAAAAAGUACUGGAAUAAUCGUCCAAACGUGAUGAUGGAGAGCUUUUCAGUGGCUUGGAAUAAGUGUUGCCGUUCAAAUGUAUGAACAGCUGAUCACUUGUUCUGCAUCUCAUUCUGUGAAACUAACACGUGUACAAACACAACAGGUCACAACUCCCACGCGUGGCUGAAAUGAGGCAGAAAAAUUGGUUAGGAAAGCAAUGAAGGUUGAGUGGAAGUGGGUAUAAUGCUGGCUCUUAUCACUCCUUACACUUUUAUAACUAAGGGGGAAAACUCGAGUUUGUGCUGUACUAAUCAGCACUGAAUCAUAGCAGAUGCAGGAACCAGUUUAGAGAAAAUUCACAUUGUGGGAGAAGGUAGAAAGAACCAGGUGUCUUUACCCUGUGUAUUUCUUCUUGUUCUUCUUUUGCCUAAAUGAGUACAUUUUCAUCAAGCAAGGUAUAAGGUUUAAUUCAGUUUGGUAUUUUCUUCCUAAUGAUGCUGGUGUCAUAUGCUCGAUAUAUUUAUUUAAAUCAAAUUGACCUUGCGAUAUAAAAAAUGAAAAACUGAGGACCACCAACUCAAAUGAUUCCACACUCCCCAAUAAUGCCACUGUAAAUUCUGUGUUCCUUAUUUUAGUGCAGGGUUAUUGUAUACGUACACUUUUGUGGCAGGUUGUUGUCCAUCUUUGAUGCAAAAGAGUAGUAUGACAAUUUAGAAACAGUUUAUUUACGGUGUUAGAACGUAAGAUCCAUUCUCACUGGAAACAGGUCCUAUUAAGCUCAGAGAAAUGAUUUGUUCUCUGUCUCACCAGUCCUCUUUAGUCUGGGCACUACAUAUUUCACAAAUGUCGAACCAUUCCUUUAAGGGUGGCAGUUUCUACAUAAAGGAAAUGCUUGAGUGAGCUCCUACACAGAGGUGAUAAACCCGCAGUUGAACAGCUGUAGAAUAUAAUUUGACAGACGCCGGUUUGACAAUGUUAAACAACUACAGAGGCCUAUGUGGUGGAUGAAUCAGAGGAAGAUAUGUGUGUGUGUGUUACACAGGUCUCAUUCCCGGGGCUGGAUGAAGUCACAUGUACCUAACUGUUUUCACUCAAGAAACUGGACUCAAAUGAUUUUCAGUUGUAGGAAUAACCAGCCACUUCUAGAGUUCUUGGUUAUUUUUACACCCACCAACUAUAAAGGAAAAUAUAUUUUUCCUUAAACACUUUGACUUGUGGUGACGACUGUACGAAUUCAACAUUCCACUUUAGCCCUGUGGGGGCAAACCACUCUUUAACACUGGGGAUUUCCUUCAGAGAAACUGUUCUCAUGCUACUUACUGUAUACCAUGCCUGAACAUGACUGUAUGCUUGGUAGCAGUAAUGGACUACUUUGCAACAUACAACAGGGCAGUCAGGAGACUUUUUCAAAACGUAUACAAUGUUUAAAAGACUGGAACAUGCCUGGAAACUGGAAGUUGGACUAUUUCAUUAGGGGUUUUGAAACAUAGGAAAGGACAUCUGCAAAGAAGCAUGGUUUAUUAAAAACAAACUGCUUUAUUAUUGCCGUCAUGUUUUUAUUCAUUGUAUGAAGUGUACAGGAGUCAUCGCUUAAUGAGGGCUAGCAUGGUGUAACUAUUAUGCACAAGGUUACACA